CUCACAACUUUUGGCACACGGGUAGCUCCUGGCCAUUAAAAAAAAAUCCUUGCUUUGGUCGUGGGAUUAGCAGGUUGCCCAGCCAGGUCCCCUGGUUAGGCAAGGCAACUGCGAGCGGUUGGAGCUCCGAUGGUGAUUAGCGGCGGUGGGCGGCGAGUGUGGUGGUCUGCGCAGAAUCGGCGUCCCGGCCUGGUAAGUGCGCGUGUGGCCUCGGCGUCUCUGCGGGUUCGUCAGUGCCGGGUGACGCGGCGGGUGGGGGUUGACACGGUGCUGCAUCGACCGCCAUUGAUUCUUGAUUUCCGACGGCCGCGGCGGCGCUGCUCCAGUACGCGCGGCGUCAUGGAAUUUGAAGAGGUUGAGGCAACAAAGAGAACAGAGGAAUAAGGUAGUCAGCUUUUCUCUUCCUUUUCAUCUCUUGAUGCGGUGUCCUUUUCUUCCCAUCACGAUGGUGGGUAACCAGGUCUGCGCUGCUGGAGUUCUUCAGUAUAGCCCCAUCUCCAUCAACAUACAAGAGUAUGUGUCGAUUUGUUUUGAUUGAUAUCAUAUAGAAGCUUCUACAGACGAAUGAAUAUGGUACAGUUGUUGCAUUCAUUAUUUUGUGCAGCUACCUACUGUUUAAAUCCUCCAUUGACUUGGUUGAAACACUACAGUUCACAUCUAGAAACAGUUUAAAUUCUGCACAAAUUAUUGGGAAUUCCAUGUUCUGAACAGGACUUUUAAACUGAACAGAGAAGUCAUCACGUACUGAUUCUACUCAUCAAACAGUACCUCUUGAUGCAUGAUUUCAAGUGGGAAGUGAGAUAUGCAAGUUCCUUACAACGACAGUUUACUACUGCAUCGUACUAGAGAUAUGGUAGUACAGAUGUUUUCACCAUGUUCCAGUCCUAUAGGCUUGUGAACUUGAAGAUCAACAGCUUACAAUAUGGUGUAUUCCUUUCAAAAACUUUUUUUGCAUACAAUUUUCGGGAUGGCCUAACACAAGUACUUAAACAAACACAUAUGAGAUUGCCACCACAUGCCGAUGCACAAGCCAAUCGCUCUGCAUUUGGUGCAUUCCAUCUCACCAUGAACAUGAAGUUCGGUUUACAUCUCAGUCAGGAUCAGAGGAAGAAUAAAGCUACUUCUGUUUGUGGCAUUAGCAGAUGGACAUUGGUUUUUCACUUGACAAGGAAAAGACAACAUACAACAUGUUAUUUUUUGUGAGAACCACUGAGCUACAAUUUUCCCAAUUGUUACUAAAUAGUUUCAAAAUGUUAUAGAAAUGCUAGUUAGUAUACUGUUCUUCUAGUUAGUCUUUCUGAUGUUUUUGUUUUUUUCCUUGUUCAUAUGUUUCAGUUUAAGCUCAACACUAGAGUUGUUAUAAGUAUAUGGUCCUUUCAACAGUGGUUUGCUAGCUGGGACACAUUUGGCUAUUUGAAAUAUACUUCUUUCUGUUUGGCAUUUGCUUCUAAUUUUCUAUGUGCUCCUUUUGGUUAUGUAGAUAUCUUUUAGCAUACUUCUCCCUUCAUUUACUCAUUUUGCUAUACACCUUUUUUGCGUUACUUCUAAGAAAUUUCUUAAUUAUAUCCGAAGUCGGCUGUUUUUCUCACAAUCUUAACUGGAAUAAUCCUACAGAAAAUAUAAGAAAAUUAGCUUUCUAGUAGCAGCAACACUCUUGUACUAACUAUUAAAGCUGUUUUUUUCUUUAGAAAAUGGUACACUUAUCUGCUGGAAAUAAGAAUGUAAUAUGUAUCUGUGGCAUUGCUUUAUUUUUUUGCUUGAUCUACAUGUAUACCAUGAGGUGCCAGAUCAAGCAUUUUGACACACAGUUAAGGAUUUAAGGCCGAAAAGGCAGACUUAUUUAUAAGGCCAGGAGUAGGCAUUUGCUUAGCGUGCCACAUUGCCACAAUAUUUCUAGUGUUAGUUUUCUAACAAUUUGUGUAUGAAGGCAACCUACUAUUCUCUCUUCAUCUGACUACAUGGGUAACAUUAUUUUGAUUAUUCAGUUGGUUGGAUGCUUAAUUUAUUCAGGGAUAGAGAGGACUCCCUCCUAUCCAUAAUAAUUGUCGCUGAUUUAGUACAAAGUUGUACUAAAUCAACAGAAAUUAAUAUGGAUUGGGGGGGAUAGCAAAAUUCAGGUUUUGAUGAGAAGAAAAAAGUGAACCUAAAGGCUCUAAGUACUAUUAGUAGGACACCAGGUUGCUUCAAGCCCUUGGAUAAGAAUGUUUCAGUCGCUGGAGAGAAUGUUGAACAGAUGACAUGGAUGGAAGAUCUCUGGCCACCUGCAAAUAGCUGUUUGAAGAUCAAGAUCGGGAGUAUUGAGUUUUGUAAUAGUGAUUUCUGAAUUUUUCUGGAUGCUUGUUACUGAGUGCUAAGUGGCAGACAACAUUGUUAUUCCAUGGUUACCAAAAAAAUGCCUUCUGUACAGAAUAAUUAGUGGACCAUGUUUCUUACGAUAACCAAAGAUGCCUCGUACAGAAAAGUGUUAGGGCAUGUA